rnacentral:rRNA from 1 species
AAGCGCUGGCAACCAGACUCGAGCGCGGUGUUCCCCCUGGCUUCUGCUAGGGUUACUUCACCGUGUCCGGGCCAUCAUCGGUUUCGAGGGUCGGUCAAAGGCUCCGGGAAUGUAUCUACCCACGGGUAGACUUAUAGACCGGGGUGUCAUGCGGCCUCCCGGGACCGAGGAACGCGCUUCGGCUCGGAUGUUGGCGUAAUGGUUGUCAGCGA